rnacentral:rRNA from 1 species
AUUGAACGCUAGCGGGAUGCCUUACACAUGCAAGUCGAACGAGUGGCGGACGGGUGUGUAAUAUAUCGGACCGUGCCCAGUAGCGGGGGAUAACUAGUAGAAAGUAUCGCUAAUCCCGCAAACUAUUGGAGCGCCCGAUAGCGGUUUAGCUAGUUGGGGGGGUAAAGGCUCACCUAGGCAAAGAUCCGUAGGUGGUUUGAGAGGAAGACCAGCCACACUGGGACUGAGACACGGCCCAGACUCCUACGGGAGGCAGCAGUGGGGAAUUUUGGACAAUGGGGGAAACCCUGAUGCAGCCAUCCCGCGUGUAUGAGAAGGCCUUCGGGUUGUAAAGUACUUUUGGCAGAGAGGCGGUAUCUGCAGAAUAAGCACCGGCUAACUACGUGCCAGCAGCCGCGGUAAUAC